CUUUUGUAUCAACCUAAUAUAUUCUGCCACAAAAUGGCUGGUCACAAAAGGAUUAUAAUAAUAAUAUUAUUAUUAUUCCUGUGAAUGGUGUCUGCAGGUAGCUAUCACUUAUUUGUUCUGCUGAUAUUAUCCAUUUUUUUUGAAUUUUGCCUAUUGGCUGGAUGAAAAUUGGUGUCACCCUCCUCAUGGGUUUCUCUUGCAUUUCCUUGGUUGCUAGUGAGGUUGGGCACCUUUUACGAUGUUUAUUGGCUGUUCAUAUUUCUCCUUUGCUAAUCACAUGGCUUUUCAAUUUUAUACUUAGCUGUUUUCUCUUUGUUCUGUCUGUAAUUUAAUUUUGUUAAUGAUGCGAACUAGAGAUUUAAUUUUAUGUUUUACCAAAUGAAUAGCCAACACUAUGUAUUGUCUGUUGUAUUUUUCCCCACUGGUUUAUAUGAUGUUGUGUAUUAUCUACCAAAUUUACAUGUAUGCUUCCAAAGUCUUAUUCCAUCCCAUUCUUUUAUUUUUCUUUCAUGAUUAACACCAUAUUUUUGAAUUGCUAAAACUUUAUAAUAUAAAUAUAAGCUUUGUAUGUCUAUAAAUAAAAUACAUUUUAUUAAUUAUAAUUAUAUGUUAUAUAAUUAUAAUAUAAGCACUUGAACAUAUAUACUUCUAUAAUUAUAUAUUAUAUAAUUAUAUAUCAUACUUCUAUGAUAUGUUCUAUAAUUAUAUAUUGUAUAUAUCAUAGUUCUAUGAUAUGUUCUAUAAUUAUAUAUUAUAAAGUUACAAUUAAUUGUAUAUUUAAUUUAUACCAUAUACUGUAAUAAGCAAAAUAUAGAAAUAUGUUUUAAAUCUGGUAGGUGGUAUCUUGACUCAUUGGUUUUAUAUGUUUUUCUGAUUUUCUUUUUGUUCAUUUGUUCGUUUUGGUUUUUAGUUGCUGUUGUGUUUACUUCAAAUUUUUUCUUAUCUGUCAUUGCUCAUUGUUUUUUAGAUGAAUUUUUAAUUGAUUUUUUUCCAGUUCCAGUUGCAAUAUGGAUUAGGACAGCAUUGAAUUUGUAGAUUAUUUUGGAUGAAAUUGGCAUCUUUAUAACUUUGAGUGUUUCUAUCCAGGAACUUAGUAUGUUUCUUUAGUACUUCUUUUAUGUACUUGAAUAAAAUUUGUCUAACUUGUUGAUGUAUCCCCAAAGAACCAGACAUUUUUAUUAAAUGUAUUUUAAUAUUUUUUUCUGUCUCAUUAGUCUGUGCUUUUAUCCAUAUUAAGUCAAUUAAUUUUUGGACUUAUUUCAUUGUUUUUUUUCUGGCUUCUUGAGUUGAAAGUGUAGUUCACUCUUUUUAAGGAUUUUUCUAGCAAAUGCUUAGAAGUGUAUACAUUGUCCUCUGAGAACUGCUUUGGUUACAACCCACAGGUGUGCCAUGUGGCUCUCUAUAUAAUUCCUUGCUGAAGAAGUUUUUACUUUUCAUCUUGUUUUUUUUAAUCCGAGGAAUUAUCUGGAACACUGUUUUUAAAUUUCCAAAUUUAUUUUGGCUAGUUUGUUUUUAAUGUCUAAUUUCUGUUUGCCUUUAGGUAUAUGUUGAGCCUACAUCAUUUCUGCUUCUAUAUUUAUUGAGAUAUUCUUUGUUGCCCUUAUAGUCAGUUUGAAAAGCUGUCCCAUGUGUGUUUGAAAAUAACUUUGCUAUAUAGACACAAGUUUUCUAUACAUCUAUUAGGACAGAUUUGUUAAUCCUCUUAUGUAAUCUAUAUUCUUUCUUCUUUUUGGUCUACCUGACAUCUAUUUUGAGGAAGGAAGCUAAAGUCUUCUACUGUUAUUGUGAUUUUAACAAUUUCUUCUCAUAUUUUGAUUACUUUUUGAUUUUAACUUUUUCAGGCCAUGUUAUUAUAUGCAUAAUGAUUUAUUUUCUUCAGUCAUAGAUCAUGUAAACCAGAAGUAAAGAUCAAAUAAACCAAAUCUUUCCUCUAUGAAACAACCAAACAACUCUCUGGCCACUUUUAUCCUUUCAACAUAAGUUCUAUUUUUUAUUAUUAAUUUAUCUUCUUUCUUUUUUGUUAACAUUUGCCUGAAGCUUCUUUUCAGAAUCUUUUUUGUUUUUGACUGUUGCUUGUUUUAGGUGUAUCUAUUAUAUUAGAAUAUAGCUACAAUGUCUCUCUUUUUUUUUUUUUUUUUUUUUUUUGAGACAGAGUCUCUCUCUGUGCCCAGGCUGGAGUGCAGUGGUGUGAUCUUGGCUCACUACAACCUCCACCUCCUGAGUUCAAGCGAUUCUCUGCCUCAACCUCCCAAGUAGCUGGGACUAUAGGUGUCCACCAGCACACCUGGCCAAUUUUUUUGUAUUUUUCGUAGAGAUGGGGUUUUGGCAUGUUGGCCAGGCUGGUCUUGAACUCCUGGCCUCAAGUGAUCUACCUGCCUCAGCCUCCCAAAAUGUCUUAAUCAAAGAUAAAAUUCCAUAUCUUAUGAGUGCCUUGAACCCAUUCACAUAUAAUGUGGUUGAUGAUAGACUUACUAUCUUAAUGCAUGUGUUUUAUUUAUUGUGCUUAUGGUUGAAAACCAUCUUCUUCAUCUCUGGAUCAUCAGAGUCAACCAGAGGGCUUGGCUCAAAGCAGUAGGUAUUCAACAAAUGCUCAUUGAAUAAAAAUGUCCUUGAUCCUCUAAUUCUGAUUUGAUUCGAGAAAUAACUUAUGGCAAAGAGCUCAAUUGUAAUGGGGUUGGGACUAAAAUUCAAGUUAAUGUUGAAAGAUGUUUCAAGAAGUAUUUAGGUUAUAUUAUUAAAUAUUAGACACUUUCUGUUUAUAUAGAUUUAACAUAUAAAGAUUUUAAGUUUUCUGUGUAUGUGAGGUCUCGUAGUAGUUUCUGCUGAAAAUGACAGGGGCGCGGGGUUAAGGGUGAAGACAGUAUCUCAGGAUUGGAGAAGGAAAUCUAAGAUAUUGUCUCCACCAGCCAUACUCCUCAUGAACAUGCACAUGGAAGGACAUUUCCCAGCCAAAGUGAAUCCCUUUAUUUGUUUUAGUUUCAGAUUUGAGUCUCAGAUUUCUUUGUAAUUCCAGCUGCAUCUACCAAAGUGCUAGAUAAUUUUUUUAUUUUAAGCAAACAAUAUUAUGAGAACAUUAUCUUUAUUGCAAAGUGCUCCUCCAGAAGAACCUCUAUGCUGGAUAAAGACAAACAUUUGAUUAAGGUUAUGUAAGAGUGAAAUCAGGAUGGCUCACAACCCAUUAGCCGUCAUUUUCUUACUUUAAUUGACAAAGAAAUUGAAAAAAUGAAAGAAGCAUAUGUUGUGCUUGAAUGUGAAGAGUGCUAGACUAGAAUCAAAGGCCUCUUAGAUUUGGCUGUGUCAUUUGGGCUCAUGAAAACACCUCUGGAAAUCUCUUUCAGUGCAAAGGAGCUGGACUAGUUGAUCUCUCAGGUUUCUUCCAACUCUAAAAUAUCUCCAGUCUGUGCCUUGGAAACAUCUUAGGUGAAAAUCUAGGAACAGUUAACCUAAUUUGCACCCUUAAAAUUCUGCCAUGAGCUGCUUACAACUCAAAACAAGUUUAUCUUACUCAGUUACUAAUUAUAAACCAUCCAGAUUUCAGAGCUGUGAGUACUGGGUGAAGCAUUGAAGGUAUGCUUUUGAAGCCAUUACAUAUGGCAGUUACUGAGCUGAAAGGAUUAAAUGCUGCAGCUUCCCCAGUUGCCCUUCCUCCAUGAGAGCAGUGCCUGCCCCCAGCAUUCUGUGGCACUUGGAAGACAAGACAGAGGCCAAAUGCAGAUUUUUACCCUGGGCUUCCCUCUACAGUGUGGAACUCAGGUUGUUUCUUCUUUCCUCCCUGAAAUGACAUGAGUUUGCAGCGGAUGGUGAACUGAAGAAACCAUAGGAGGCUCUGUCUUCUUGCCUGAAUUUCAGUUGGAAGCUUGGAGAUUUGGGGUUCAACAGAGAUAAGGAAGUGUAAGCCUUCAUCCCGUCUGGUGGUUGGCGAUCACACACCGCUCUGUGCUGAGGCUAAUGGCCAUGAUCAGAGUUGACC
rnacentral:lncRNA from 10 species